UUUUCCUUUCUUUAGUGCGGACAACCAGGACUUUCAAAAACCGUGUUGCCUUCAUUCCUUGCUGCUUCUCUACAGUGGAAUAGGCGUCAAGUCCUCGGUGAGAUCAACUACGGUUCUUUCGCCAGAAUCAGGUGCUCAUCUUAAUGCCCUUUUGUCUUCUCACAUGUUAUCCUUUAACGGAUGAUCGCGACUACUCUUGCAGGUGGAUCGUGUUGGAGUUGGCGAGGGCUGGUAGAUCAUACAGUA
rfam:Cyberlindnera jadinii strain CBS1600 genome assembly, contig: CJ2